AAAUAUUUGGUGACUUCGGAUAAUAACAGUUAUGUUUCAUUAGGAAGGUGGACUUAAUAGUAAGUUUAAUAAUUAGUAUGUAUUGCUGAAUAUGGUUUUGUAA